rnacentral:lncRNA from 1 species
UAAAGUUCAUUUUAUGAAGAGAGGGACAGAAGCAACUUUGUGAUCUGCCUUGAGGACCUCACCAGUGAGUACUUCACUGCCCCACUGGAGAGGAUGAGGGCGAAGAGACAGCAGAGUGGGGCACUGUGCCCACCAGUCAGGUGAGAUCCAUCUCAGAAGUGAGCAAAUGGAGCAGUCAGGUCCACCCUCUGGCGGGGGUAUCUGCUAUUCUGCAUCUGCAGUCACUGCCUUUCCUGGCCAAUCACAGUGCGUUGACGUGAUACCUCUGACUUUAAAUGAUGUGAGAGUGACAUAUUUUCGGCAGAAAUCAUCUUUUAAAAUUUGAGUUCUCCUGGGCUUGUAAGACAGCCAUUCUGUUUUCCUUUUGAGUACGACAUUCAGUGAAUUGCAGGUAAUGUCCAACAUGUUAUUAUCCCACAGGCCUUGUGUUAGAGACUUCCAACCUGUGGUAGGUGAAGACCAGUGGUCCAAGCCUGGUCCCAGGCCAGCUCCCCUACUUGCAUUUUCUGUGCAAGCUACCUCCAACUUGUGGAGAAUUUACUGAGUCACUGCUCCUUGAUGAGCUGGCGCACACCUCUGAUCUGGAUACACUGCUGAGCUAUGCAUUUACUGUCUCUGGGAGAGAUCAUUUCCACAUCCAGGAGCCCAGGGCAGGAGGAGAAAGGUUCCUCGUUGAUGAUGGACACCAGCAGGCGCAGGUGAACUCAACCCUGCUGCCUCCGUUCACCUCCCAUCCUGGGCCAGCCCAGCACCAACGUCCCAUGCUCAGACCUGCCGACGCCGCAUGA